rnacentral:lncRNA from 1 species
UUAUAAGCUCCAAUAACUUAUAUGUAAUGUUCCAAGAGUUUAUAAGCUGUCAAAGUAUUUCGAUAAUUGAGAUUCUAAGCUAGAGGAAGAACUGUGAGCAACGAGAGAAAAUCAUGGUUAGAGAUAGAAAAAUGAAAAGAUAUGAAAUUGUAAUGAUAUAACAAAUAAUAGUAAAUUAAUUUUGUAAAAAGAUUGUUGCUUAUAUGAUUUUAAAAAAAAUAAACUGGGAUAAUCUAUAUGAACUUAUUUUUUGAGGAGCUUCUAAGUUGUUUAAUAGUUUAUUUUGCCAAAUAUUUCUCAAGUGCUUAUAAAUAGUUUUAAGGAAGUUAUAAGCUCAGCCAAACACCCUCUUAAAACUCGAAUAAAAAAUUAUUUACGAUCAAUUGAAGCUGAUGUGUAUCACCAGAAGCUUAUUUGCCAACAUUGCCAUUUUUUACACAUUCAAUCAUUCGAUGCUAAAUCGGCACCUGACAAUAAAAGUGAGCUUCAGUUGUCCGAAAAAUUUGAUGACUUGAGCUAUUAAGUGAACAAUAAAGAUUAAUAUAGGCUAUAUUUGUAAUAUUUUUAAAUUCAAAUUAAAAAGUCACAAUGAAGUUAAAGUUCCAACUAUAUAUAGUUUAAAAUAACCAUAGCCUCUGCAAAUUCUCACUACAAGAAAAACUCUAAUAG